GCCAGCAUAGUGUAGUGAUUUGAACAUUGAACUGUGACUCUGGAGAUCAGGGUUCAAUUCCCUGUGCAGACA